AUGAUUUACGACCUACAUCAUAUGGUGAAGACUUCAGUGUCAAUACCAAGGGUGUUCCACAACGAAGCUUAACAAACUUAAUUACUGCUUCUCAGAGAUCCAGGAAAAACUUAGAAGCAAAAUAUUGUACUGUGAGAACAGAUGAUGGAAUCGUGUUUGAGGACAAGAUCUGUGAUCAUCCAAAUGAAGAUGUGCUUGAAUCCUUUCCUACAACAUCAGCCAAAGUUCAGGGCUUUUCACAUCCUUCCUUUCCAUCACCUGAUGCUCCUCUGAAACCUUCCUUUCCGUCAUUGGAGAACUGUGGCCUUACAGAGGGAAGUUACGAUUUUAAAAACUUUUCUCUUCUACAUAUUUUUUAGUAUACCUCCUCAUCCUCAGAAUGCAGACAAAAAUACUAUAAAGAAAUGGACCUCCUCAAGGCCAUGAUAGAAAACAAAUGUAAUAACAA